CACGUAGGGCGCAAGCGUUGUCCGGAAUUAUUGGGCGUAAAGAGCUCGUAGGCGGUCUGUUGCGUCCGCUGUGAAAACUCGGGGCUUAACCCCGAGCCUGCAGUGGAUACGGGCAGACUAGAGGUAGGUAGGGGAGAACGGAAUUCCCGGUGUAGCGGUGAAAUGCGCAGAUAUCGGGAGGAGCACCGAUGGCGAAGGCAGCCCCCUGGGCUAGCACUGACGCUCAGGCACGAAAGCGUGGGGAGCAAACAGG
rnacentral:rRNA from 1 species